rnacentral:rRNA from 1 species
CAGCCGCCACGGUAAUACGGAGGGAGCUAGCGUUAUUCGGAAUUACUGGGCGUAAAGCGCACGUAGGCGGCUUUGUAAGUAAGAGGUGAAAGCCCAGAGCUCAACUCUGGAAUUGCCUUUUAGACUGCAUCGCUUGAAUCAUGGAGAGGUCAGUGGAAUUCCGAGUGUAGAGGUGAAAUUCGUAGAUAUUCGGAAGAACACCAGUGGCGAAGGCGACUGACUGGACAAGUAUUGACGCUGAGGUGCGAAAGCGUGGGGAGCAAACAGGAUUAGAUACCCCGGUAGUCCCUGUCUCUUAUAC